rnacentral:rRNA from 1 species
CAGCAGCCGCGGUAAUACGUAGGUGGCAAGCGUUGUCCGGAAUUAUUGGGCGUAAAGGGCUCGCAGGCGGUUUCUUAAGUCUGAUGUGAAAGCCCCCGGCUCAACCGGGGAGGGUCAUUGGAAACUGGGAAACUUGAGUGCAGAAGAGGAGAGUGGAAUUCCACGUGUAGCGGUGAAGUGCGUAGAGAUGUGGAGGAACACCAGUGGCGAAGGCGACUCUCUGGUCUGUAACUGACGCUGAGGAGCGAAAGCGUGGGGAGCGAACAGGAUUAGAUACCCGCGUAGUCCCUGUCUCUUAUAA